UAGGGAAUCUUCCACAAUGGACGCAAGUCUGAUGGAGCAACGCCGCGUGAGUGAAGAAGGUUUUCGGAUCGUAAAGCUCUGUUGUUGGUGAAGAAGGAUAGAGGCAGUAACUGGUCUUUAUUUGACGGUAAUCAACCAGAAAGUCACGGCUAACUACGUGCCAGCAGCCGCGGUAAUACGUAGGUGGCAAGCGUUGUCCGGAUUUAUUGGGCGUAAAGCGAGCGCAGGCGGAAUGAUAAGUCUGAUGUGAAAGCCCACGGCUCAACCGUGGAACUGCAUCGGAAACUGUCAUUCUUGAGUGCAGAAGAGGAGAGUGGAACUCCAUGUGUAGCGGUGGAAUGCGUAGAUAUAUGGAAGAACACCAGUGGCGAAGGCGGCUCUCUGGUCUGCAACUGACGCUGAGGCUCGAAAGCGUGGGUAGCGAACAGGAUUAGAUACCCUGGUAGUCCAUGCCGUAAACGAUGAGCGCUAGGUGUUGGGGACUUUCCGGUUCUCAGUGCCGCAGCAAACGCAUUAAGCGCUCCGCCUGGGGAGUACGACCGCAAGGUUGAAAC
rnacentral:rRNA from 1 species